rnacentral:rRNA from 1 species
GACGAACGCUGGCGGCGUGCUUAACACAUGCAAGUCGAACGGAAAGGCCCUGCUUUUGUGGGGUGCUCGAGUGGCGAACGGGGGAGUAACACGUGAGUAACCUGCCCUUGACUUUGGGAUAACUUCAGGAAACUGGGGCUAAUACCGGAUAGGAGCUCCUGCUGCAUGGUGGGGGUUGGAAAGUUUCGGCGGUUGGGGAUGGACUCGCGGCUUAUCAGCUUGUUGGAGUGGUGGUGGCUUACCAAGGCUUUGACGGGUAGCCGGCCUGGGAGGGUGACAGGCCACACUGGGACUGAGAUACGGCCCAGACUCCUACGGGAGGCAGCAGUGGGGAAUAUUGCACAAUGGGCGGAAGCCUGAUGCAGCAACGCCGCGUGCGGGAUGACGGCCUUCGGGUUGUAAACCGCUUUCGCUUGUGACGAAGCGUGAGUGACGGUAAUGGGUAAAGAAGCACCGGCUAACUACGUG